UCCUACGGGAGGCAGCAGUAGGGAAUCUUCCACAAUGGACGAAAGUCUGAUGGAGCAACGCCGCGUGAGUGAUGAAGGGUUUCGGCUCGUAAAACUCUGUUGUUGGAGAAGAACAGGUGUGAGAGUAACUGUUCACAUCUUGACGGUAUCCAACCAGAAAGCCACGGCUAACUACGUGCCAGCAGCCGCGGUAAUACGUAGGUGGCAAGCGUUGUCCGGAUUUAUUGGGCGUAAAGCGAGCGCAGGCGGUCUCUUAGGUCUGAUGUGAAAGCCUUCGGCUUAACCGGAGAAGUGCAUCGGAAACCAGGAGACUUGAGUGCAGAAGAGGACAGUGGAACUCCAUGUGUAGCGGUGAAAUGCGUAGAUAUAUGGAAGAACACCAGUGGCGAAGGCGGCUGUCUGGUCUGUAACUGACGCUGAGGCUCGAAAGCAUGGGUAGCGAACAGGAUUAGAUACCCUGGUAGUCCAUGCCGUAAACGAUGAGUGCUAAGUGUUGGAGGGUUUCCGCCCUUCAGUGCUGCAGCUAACGCAUUAAGCACUCCGCCUGGGGAGUACGACCGCAAGGUUGAAACUCAAAGGAAUUGACGG
rnacentral:rRNA from 1 species